rnacentral:rRNA from 1 species
GAGUUUGAUCAUGGCUCAGGACGAACGCUGGCGGCGUGCUUAACACGUGCAAGUCGAGCGGAAAGGCCUCCUUCGGGGGUACGUCGAGCGGCGAACGGGUGAGUAACACGUGAGUGAUCUGCCCCUCCACUUCGGGAGUAACUGCCUGAAAGGGUGGCUAAUACCGGAUGCGACCGUCUCCUGCAUGGGGGGUGGUGGAAAGGGUUUUCUGGUGGGGGAGUGUGCUCGCGGCCUAUCAGCUUGUUGGUGGGGUAAUGGCCUACCAAGGCUUUGACGGGUAGCCGGCCUGAGAGGGUGACCGGCCACACUGGGACUGAGACACGGCCCAGACUCCUACGGGAGGCAGCAGGUGGGGGAAUUAUUGGACAAAUGGGGCGAAAAGCCUGAACCAGCCAUCCAGCGUGCAGGAAGAAGGCCCUAUGGGUUGUAAACUGCUUUUGUCAGGGAAUAAACCCGUGGAUUUAUCCGCAGCUGAAGGUACCUGAAGAAUAAGCACCGGCUAACUCCGUGCCAGCCGCCGCCGUAA